UAGGGAAUCUUCGGCAAUGGGGGGAACCCUGACCGAGCAACGCCGCGGGAGUGAAGAAGGUUUUCGGAUCGUAAAGCUCUGUUGUUAAGGAAGAACGAGUGUGAGAAUGGAAAGUUCAUACUGUGACGGUACUUAACCAGAAAGGGACGGCUAACUACGUGCCAGCAGCCGCGGUAAUACGUAGGUCCCGAGCGUUGUCCGGAUCUAUUGGGCGUAAAGCGAGCGCAGGCGGUUAGAUAAGUCUGAAGUUAAAGGCAGUGGCUCAACCAAUGUAGGCUUUGGAAACUGUGUAACUUGAGGGCAGAAGGGGAGAGUGGAAUUCGUUGUGUAGCGGAGAAAUGCGUAGAUAUAUGGAGGAACACCGGUGGCGAAAGCGGCUCUCUGGUCUGUAACUGACGCUGAGGCUCGAAAGCGUGGGGAACGAACAGG
rnacentral:rRNA from 1 species